rnacentral:rRNA from 1 species
UACAGAGACGUCGAGCGUUGUUCGGAUUCAUUGGGCGUAAAGGGUGCGUAGGCGGUGAGGUAAGUCGGAUGUGAAAUCCCAGAGCUUAACUCUGGAAGUGCAUCCGAAACUGCCUUGCUCGAGGACUGGAGGGGAGACUGGAAUUCUCGGUGUAGCGGUGAAAUGCGUAGAUAUCGAGAGGAACACCUGUGGCGAAGGCGGGUCUCUGGACAGUUCCUGACGCUGAGGCACGAAAGCUAGGGUAGCAAAC